rnacentral:rRNA from 1 species
GUCCACACAGUAAACGAUGAAUACUCGCUGUUGGCGAUACACAGUCAGCGGCCAAGCGAAAGCAUUAAGUAUUCCACCUGGGGAGUACGCCGGCAACGGUGAAACUCAAAGGAAUUGACGGGGGCCCGCACAAGCGGAGGAACAUGUGGUUUAAUUCGAUGAUACGCGAGGAACCUUACCCGGGCUUAAAUUGCAGCGGAAUGUAGUGGAAACAUUACAGCCUUUCGGGCCGCUGUGAAGGUGCUGCAUGGUUGUCGU